UCCCAGCUGGCUCAGUGGUAAAGAAACUGCCUGCAAUGCAGGAGACGCAGAUUCAAUCCCUGGGUUGGGAA
rnacentral:tRNA from 1 species